GAUGAACGCUGGCGGCGUGCCUAACACAUGCAAGUCGAACGAGAUGCGUAUCGGAAAGCUUCGGCCGGAAGAUACGUUAUCUAGUGGCGGACGGGUGAGUAACACGUGGGUAACCUGCCUUAUGGAGGGGGAUAACAGAGAGAAAUCACUGCUAAUACCGCAUAAGCACACAUUGCCGCAUGGCAGAGUGUGAAAAGAUUUAUCGCCAUAAGAUGGACCCGCGUCUGAUUAGCCAGUUGGCAGGGUAAAAGCCUACCAAAGCAACGAUCAGUAGCCGAUCUGAGAGGAUGACCGGCCACAUUGGGACUGAGACACGGCCCAAACUCCUACGGGAGGCAGCAGUGGGGAAUAUUGCACAAUGGGGGAAACCCUGAUGCAGCGACGCCGCGUGAGUGAAGAAGUAUUUCGGUAUGUAAAGCUCUAUCAGCAGGGAAGAUAAUGACAGUACCUGACUAAGAAGCCCCGGCUAACUACGUGCCAGCAGCCGCGGUAAUACGUAGGGGGCAAGCGUUAUCCGGAUUUACUGGGUGUAAAGGGAGCGUAGACGGAGUGGCAAGUCUGAAGUGAAAACCCUGGGCUUAACCUGGGGACUGCUUUGGAAACUGUUAAUCUAGAGUGUUGGAGAGGUAAGUGGAAUUCCUGGUGUAGCGGUGAAAUGCGUAGAUAUCAGGAAGAACACCGGAGGCGAAGGCGUCUUACUGGACAAUAACUGACGUUGAGGCUCUAAAGCGUGGGGAUCAAACAGG
rnacentral:rRNA from 1 species